rnacentral:lncRNA from 1 species
GAAGACGAGUGGCAAAGUUGAAGGGGAGACAACGAGGCCCCUGAGCAUUAAACAGAGUAUAUUCUACACACCUACUCUAGGAGAUUAAAGAGGUGGAUUUGCAGCAGUUCUUCAGACUGACUAAUUUAUAUGUAUAUCAAGGAUUCAGCUGGAGAAUUUUUUUUAAAAGAGGAGCUGAGGGAAAAUACGAUGCUCUCACAUUCCCAGUGGUGUUGCCACGUUCAUUUUACUGGCACGUUCAUUCUUUAGUACUUUCAUGGAUUGACAUGAGGGAGGAAUUCGCAUGUCAUGGAAGAUAACAUCUCACUGUUGCCAAAGGAGUCUAUUCAGACAUGCAUGUUAGUGGGUUGAUAACUUAUUCGGUAUUGCAGAGGACUCAAAGAUAGACAUUUCGCCUUUUAUCUCCAUCUCUGUGCUCCCUGCAUACUAAAGAUAGUGCAAAACAGCCAGACACAUCUUAACUAACCCACACAGAAAAGAGGGAUAUUUGCCUGCCUGCUGCAAGGAGGGGCUGCAAAGGUAAAGCAACGCGGUGUCAAAUGGAUAACGACAAAGAAAUUAAACACUUUCAUACACCCAACUUGAGCUGUUGGUGAAGGUAAUUUUAAAUCACAAAUCUAAUGAUAAUUUGACCAGAGAUGUAAAAUAAAUGGAUUCUAAACAUUUUGGUGCUGUCUGGUACAGGGAGAAGAAAGAAUAGUGAUGCUGCAAAAUUUAAAAAAAAAUAUGUAGACUAUCUCCUACGUGCCUUAGCAGACCCAUAUUUUGAGAUAAAGGAAGGAAAAUGAGAACUAAUUCAGCAAUGAUGAUAAUAUGCAUUAAAACAUAAAAAUGAAAACACAGGUAAGAGAACUAUGAUGUAAUCCCUGAAAGCUCCCUUCCCAAGAGACUUGAGGAGCCCAAACCCAUAACUCUCAGAAGACAUGAAUGGUUCAUGUUCAGAACAACUCAUCACACCUUUGGGGAAGAAUUGCAGAUGCAGACAAGUGUGGGUGCCUGAUAACACGGAUACAAGAUGGAUACAAAUGCUAUCAGCAAUCUUGUGCAUUAGGAAUGUACACUGCAACAGCCAAGUUGACACCACCAGAAUAAAUACAGAUUUUUUUCUUUCCUAAGAAGAAGAAAAAAGGCAAGAUCAUCUACCCAGUACAAGCCUGCUGAUUCAGAGUUAACGCUUUGCUAUAUUAUCUGUUCAAGAUACACAAAGUAUUAUUCCUCACUUCAGGGAGAAAAGAGGUAUCUGAACAAGUCCAAAUUGAUAAUAAAAAUUUGAAAGAUACAUACA